GACAAAUAGAAGAAGAAGAAAGCUGUUUCAAAUAUGAAAAUAAAUAUUAUUUGACCCAGUAAAGAAUUCAAGCUCUCGCUUAUUAUUUUGUUUCUGAAAAAGUGAAUCCAUUUAACUAAUUGGGUAAAGGAUUCUAGCCAAAUUGUCCGUCUGAUUGGUCCCGUCGGAACGAAGUGUUGCUCGGUUCAGUCAUAAUUUUCCAGUAUGCUUUAGCAGGAUGGUUUCAACAAAUUUUUUACGGAUAAAGUAGUUGAAAGAGGUAACCAUUAACUGGCUACUCUGCCCCCCUCCCGUAGACACACAGAUAAAUAGGAAUGACCAGAUCACCAUGACAGCAACACUGGCGAGUCCUAAGGGCCCUCACCGGUAAUGACCCAACCCUUCCCUAGGGAAGUGAGUCUCAUCAUCGAUGGGAAGUAGUCAACCUCCACCUCUAUUUGCAUCCACCAGAUCGCCGAGAACCAGCCUCCAUACUGGAAGCUUCUCAUUCUCAUUUUUGAGGUGCCUCCCAGUGGAAGAGUUG